GUCGGGANAGCUCACCCGGU
rnacentral:tRNA from 1 species